UAGCUCACCGGGGCCCGAAGGGCCCCAUGUGAGCUUAUGCCAUCACUUGGCGUCCGUCGUCUGUCGUCGUCGUAUGUCGUCGUAAACUAUUUCAAAAAUCUUCUCCUAUGAAACUACUGGGCCAAAUACCUUCAAACUUUAACUAAAUGUUCCUUAGGGUAUCUAGUUUAUAAAUUGUAUCCGAAGUUUUGAUCCAUCGACAAACAUGGCCCCCAUGGCUAAAAAUAGAACAUAGGGGUCAAAUGCAGUUUUUGGCUUAUAUCUCAAAAACUAAAGCUUUUAGAGCAAAUCUGACAUAGGAUUAAAUUGUUCAAUUGGUCAAGAUCUAUCAGUUUUGAAAUUUUCAGACGAAUUGAACAACCUAUUGUUGGGUUGCUGCCACCGAAUUGGUAGUUUUAACAAAAUUUUGCAGUUUUUUGUUAUUAUUUUGAAUAUUAUUAUAGAUAUAUAUAAACUGUAAGCAGCAAUAAUGUUCAGCAAAGUAAGAUCUACAAAAAAGUUAAUAUGACCAUAAUUGUCAAUUGACCCCUUAAGGAGUUAUUGCCCUUUAAAGACAAUUUUACACAAUUUGUUCAUCAAGUUUGCUAACAUUUAAAAAUCUUCUCCUCUGAAACUACUGGGCCAAUUACCUUCAAACUUUAAUAAAUGUUCCUUAGGGUAUCUUGUUUAUAAAUUGUAUCCGAAGUUUUGAUCCAUCGACAAACAUGGCCCCCAUGGCUAAAAAUAGAACAUAGGGGUCAAAUGCAGUUUUUGGCUUAUAUCUCAAAAACUAAAGCUUUUAGAGCAAAUCUGACAUAGGAUAAAAUUGUUCAAUUGGUCAAGAUCUAUCAGUUCUGAAAUUUUCAGACGAAUUGAACAACCUAUUGUUGGGUUGCCGCCACCGAAUUGGUAGUUUUAACAAAAUUUUGCAGUUUUUUGUUAUUAUUUUGAAUAUUAUUAUAGAUAUAUAUAAACUGUAAGCAGCAAUAAUGUUCAGCAAAGUAAGAUCUACAAAAAAGUUAAUAUGACCAUAAUUGUCAAUUGACCCCUUAAGGAGUUAUUGCCCUUUAAAGACAAUUUUACACAAUUUGUUCAUCAAGUUUACUAACAUUUAAAAAUCUUCUCCUCUGAAACUACUGGGCCAAUUACCUUCAAACUUUAACUAAAUGUUCCUUAGGGUAUCUUGUUUAUAAAUAGUAUCCGAAGUUUUGAUCCAUCGACAAACAUGGCCGCCAUGGCUAAAAAUAGAACAUAGGGGUCAAAUGCAGUUUUUGGCUUAUAUCUCAAAAACUAAAGCUUUUAGAGCAAAUCUGACAUAGGACAAAAUUGUUCAAUUGGUCAAGAUCUAUCAGUUCUGAAAUUUUCAGACAAAUUGAACAACCUAUUGUUGGGUUGCCGCCACCGAAUUGGUAGUUUUAACAAAAUUUUGCAGUUUUUUGUUAUUAUUUUGAAUAUUAUUAUAGAUAUAUAUAAACUGUAAGCAGCAAUAAUGUUCAGCAAAGUAAGAUCUACAAAAAAGUUAAUAUGACCAUAAUUGUCAAUUGACCCCUUAAGGAGUUAUUGCCCUUUAAAGACAAUUUUACACAAUUUGUUCAUCAAGUUUGCUAACAUUUAAAAAUCUUCUCCUCUGAAACUACUGGGCCAAUUACCUUCAAACUUUAAGUAAAUGUUCCUUAGGGUAUCUUGUUUAUAAAUUGUAUCCGAAGUUUGUAUCAAUCGACAAAAAUGGCCGCCAUGGCUAAAAAUAGAACAUAAGUGUCAAAUGCAGUUUUUGGCUUAUAUCUCAAAAACUAAAUCUUUUAGAGCAAAUGUGACAUGGGGUAAAAUUGUUUAAUUGUUCAAGAUCUAUCGGCCCUGAAAUUAUCAGACGUAUCGAACAACCCAUUGUUGGGUUGCUGCCACAGAAUUGGUAGUUUUAACAAAAUUUUGCAGUUUUUUGUUAUUAUUUUGAAUAUUACUAUAGAUAUAUGUAAACUGUAAGCAGCAGUAAUGUUCAGCAAAGUAAGAUCUACAAAAAAGUUAAUAUGACCAAAAUUGUCAAUUGACCCCUUAAGGAGUUAUCGCCCUUUAAAGACAAUAUUACACAAUUUGUUCAUCAAGUUUGCUAACAUUUAAAAAUCUUCUCCUCUGAAAUACAGGUGAGCGAUUCAGGCUCUUGAGAGCCUCUUGUU